UAGAGUUUUCUAAACUCCCAACCCUUUGUGAACUUACCUUUGUUGCCUCGGCGGGGCCUACCCGGUACCGACCCCUUUUGGGCGAAGUUACCCUGUAGCCCGCCGGUGGAUUUUCAAACUCUUGUUAUUUUAUAGAAAUCUGAGCGUCUUAUUAAAUAAGUCA
rnacentral:misc_RNA from 1 species